rnacentral:tRNA from 1 species
GCGCCUUUAGCUCAAUUGGAUAGAGCAUCUGACUACGGAUCAGAAGGUUGCAGGUUCGACUCCUGCAAGGCGCGCCA